rnacentral:rRNA from 1 species
AUACAGAGGGUGCGAGCGUUAAUCGGAAAUACUGGGCGUAAAGCGCGCGUAGGCGGUUAUUUAAGUCAGAUGUGAAAUCCCUGGGCUCAACCUAGGAACUGCAUCUGAAACUGGGUAACUAGAGUUUAGGAGAGGGGAGUAGAAUUUCGGGUGUAGCGGUGAAAUGCAUAGAGAUCCGAAGGAAUACCAGUGGCGAAGGCGACUCCCUGGCCUAGAACUGACGCUGAGGUGCGAAAGCGUGGGUAGCAAACGGGAUUAGAAACCCUAGUAGUCC